rnacentral:rRNA from 1 species
AGUGAACGCUGGCGGUAGGCCUAACACAUGCAAGUCGAACGGCAGCACAGAGGAGCUUGCUCCUUGGGUGGCGAGUGGCGGACGGGUGAGGAAUACAUCGGAAUCUACUCUGUCGUGGGGGAUAACGUCGGGAAACUUACGCUAAUACCGCAUACGACCUACGGGUGAAAGCAGGGGAUCUUCGGACCUUGCGCGAUUGAAUGAGCCGAUGUCGGAUUAGCUAGUUGGCGGGGUAAAGGCCCACCAAGGCGACGAUCCGUAGCUGGUCUGAGGGGAUGAUCAGCCACACUGGAACUGAGACACGGCCCAAACUCCUACGGGAGGCAGCAGUGGGGAAUAUUGGAAAAUGGGCGCAAGCCUGAUCCAGCCAUACCGCGUGGGUGAAGAAGGCCUUCGGGUUGUAAAGCCCUUUUGUUGGGAAAGAAAUCCAUCUGGUUAAUACCCGGGUGGGAUGACGGUACCCAAAGAAUAAGCACCGGCUAACUUCGUGCCAGCAGCCGCCGUAA